GACGAACGCUGGCGGCGUGCUUAACACAUGCAAGUCGAACGAAGUGGCGAACGGGUGAGUAAUACGUGGGUAACCUGCCUUAGACAUUGGGAUAGCCUCGGGAAACCGGGAUUAAUACCAAAUGGUCUAAGAUGGACUCGCGUCCCAUUAGCUAGUUGGUGAGGUAACGGCCCACCAAGGCGACGAGGGGUAGCCGGCCUGAGAGGGUGAACGGCAACAGUGGAACUGGGAACAGUUCAAAAUGCUGCGGGAGGAAGGAGUGGUGAAUAUUGAACAAGGGGGGGAAGUAGGAGGCAGCGACGCCGGGUGAACGAAGAAGGCUAUAAAGCCGUAAAUUUCUUUUAAAUGGGAAGCGGUACCAAAAGAAAAAGCCCCGGCUAACUACGUGCCAGCCGCCGCGGUAAUAC
rnacentral:rRNA from 1 species